rnacentral:rRNA from 1 species
UGGGGAAUAUUGCACAAUGGGCGCAAGCCUGAUGCAGCCAUGCCGCGUGUGUGAAGAAGGCCUUCGGGUUGUAAAGCACUUUCAGCGGGGAGGAAGGCGGUGAGGCUAAUAACCUCAUCGAUUGACGUUACCCGCAGAAGAAGCACCGGCUAACUCCGUGCCAGCAGCCGCGGUAAUACGGAGGGUGCAAGCGUUAAUCGGAAUUACUGGGCGUAAAGCGCACGCAGGCGGUCUGUCAAGUCGGAUGUGAAAUCCCCGGGCUCAACCUGGGAACUGCAUUCGAAACUGGCAGGCUAGAGUCUUGUAGAGGGGGGUAGAAUUCCAGGUGUAGCGGUGAAAUGCGUAGAGAUCUGGAGGAAUACCGGUGGCGAAGGCGGCCCCCUGGACAAAGACUGACGCUCAGGUGCGAAAGCGUGGGGAGCAAACAGG